UACGUAGGGUGCAAGCGUUAAUCGGAAUUACUGGGCGUAAAGCGUGCGCAGGCGGUGAUGUAAGACAGGUGUGAAAUCCCCGGGCUUAACCUGGGAACUGCAUUUGUGACUGCAUCGCUGGAGUGCGGGCAGAGGGGGAUGGAAUUCCGCGUGUAGCAGUGAAAUGCGUAGAUAUGCGGAGGAACACCGAUGGCGAAGGCAAUCCCCGUGGGCCUGCACUGACGCUCAUGCACGAAAGCGUGGGGGAGCAAACAGG
rnacentral:rRNA from 1 species